UUUACAUUUAUUAGAAAUUACCAAAAAAUUUAUUGGUUUUUGUACAAUUAAAUGGAACUGUUUUAGUUCAAUAAUCCUAUCACAUUUAAAUAUCUCUAUUCCUCUCUUAUUAGACAACAUCUGGAGUACACUAGUCUAAUUUAGGAAACCAAUACCUAAGCCAUAGCAACCAAAUUGAAUCCAUUCAAAAUAAAAUUCUUCACAAGUUAAAUGCAAUUUUACCAGACAACCGCAUUCUGGGUAUGAAAGUAUUCUUCAAUUAUUAAAUUUCAAAACCUUGAAAGAUAGAAGAUUUAAUUAUUAUGGCAUAUUCCUGGAAAAACUUUAAAACAAACCAUUACAAUAUACAUGACAAGAACCUCUUUUAUAUCCCAC